rnacentral:rRNA from 1 species
AGAGUUUGAUCCUGGCUCAGAUUGAACGCUGGCGGUAUGCUUAACACAUGCAAGUCGAACGGUAACAGGCUCUUCGGAGUGCUGACGAGUGGCGGACGGGUGAGUAACGCGUAGGAAUUUGCCUUCUAGAGAGGAAUAACCUAGGGAAACUUAGGCUAAUACUUCGUAAUAUCUACGGAUUAAAGGGUGGGAACUUUUCGGAGUCCAUUCGCUAGAAGAUAAGCCUGCGUUGGAUUAGUUUGUUGGUGGGGUAAAGGCCUACCAAGGCGAUGAUCCAUAGCUGGUCUGAGAGGAUGAUCAGCCACACUGGGACUGAGACACGGCCCAGACUCCUACGGGAGGCAGCAGUGGGGAAUAUUGGACAAUGGGCGAAAGCCUGAUCCAGCAAUACCGCGUGUGUGAAGAAGGCCUGCGGGUUGUAAAGCACUUUCAGUUAGGAAGAUGGGUGUUGUUGUUAAUAGCAGCAACA